UAAAGAUAUGUGUAGAUGUUUUGU
rnacentral:piRNA from 1 species